rnacentral:lncRNA from 1 species
CCACAAGUCUCUUCUCCAAGUCCAUGAUUUUCUUUUCUGAGGAGAUGUUCAUUUGUGCUGGAUAUUAGAUUCCAGUUAUAAGUGAUAUCAUAUGGUAUUUGUCUUUGUCUUUCUGGCUCAUUUCACUCAGUAUGAGAUUCUGUAGUUCCAUCCAUGUUGCUGCAAACGGCAUUAUGUCAUUCUUUUUUAUGGCUGAGUAGUAUUCCAUUGUGUAUAUAUACCACAUCUUCCGAAUCCAAUCAUCUGUUGAUGGACAUUUAGGUUGUUUGGCCUGGCUUUCUAAAGAUACGGGUGCGUAGGCCCUUCAAGGUUAGCCUAUCACCAAGGCAUGCUCUUCACUGCUGCAGGACCCAGAAAGGACCCACAACGGGAGCCCCAGCCCCGCCGCAACUGCCAGCUUGAGAUGGGGCUGCCAGUUUUCCUCUCUUCCUUGCUUCUGACCCGGGUUGGAUUUAACGAAUUUUGAGGGACAGCCAUCCGCCCUUCUUUCAUCGUCCUGCUCCGGCUGCUUCUGCUCCCAGCUGCCCAGUGGAUCUUCCAGCCCUGUUCAAAGUCCUCGAUGACUCCCUGUGACCACAGAGGAAAUAGCAACCUCCUCAGCUUUUAAUGACAUUAGGAAGAAGUGAUGUGACUUACAGGAUGGGCCAUCGAAACCAGUGUCUGCAGGACCUUACGUAUCCAUUCGAAAGAUCCAGAAGACAAACUAAACUUUUCCUUUUCCAUUCAGAUGUUUUCCUGCUGGGUGGCCAAAAAGUCUGAAACAACUGAAUUCCUGGGCGCUCCACAAACCUCUCCCAGUCCCCAACUUUCACAAGUGUUUUAUUCCCAAACUCUGUCCAGAUGAAAGAAAGGCCAGUGCUAACACUGAACACACGAGUCCAGGAACCAGAGGUAUGAGUAGAAACAAAGACUCUGGUUUUGCCAGGUAAAUGUUGUCAAAUAUAUGAACAUACAAAUAUAUUUAUCUCCAGUGGGUUGUAAACAGAGCGUGCAUCUCAUACAAUGUCCAAAUUCACUUGCAAGAAGAUGGUAACUGGUUUUGGAGCAUCCCACGUGUCUGAAGCCAAGGAUCCUCCCUUGCUGCGUGAUUCAGGAGAUUUGGAAAUGUUCUGCAAGCAAUGUGGUUUUAAAAUGAAGCCCAGUACAAGCUUUUGAUCUGUAUGUGAUAGUCCGUGUGCAUGAGCAACUCUACUGUAUCGACAGCCUCAAUUUAAACACUCCUCACGUACAGAAUCUGGAUUUAUUAUUUUGCUUUGGGAAACACACGUCUUUUGACUUUUCUACAUCUAUGAUCCCUGGAGAGGUGAGGUCAGAGUCCUGGGGUCUUUCUAAGGUCAGCACCCAAGUGUAGCCUUGGCAGCUUUAGGGCCAUUGGCACAUGUGCCAUAAACAAUCGCUGUUCCAGGGGGAACCAGUAAAAAUCUUUCCCUGAACGCAUCGUGGGUCACAACAGGAGGAAACACUCCAUCACGGAAAAGUGACACUAAUGUAUUCUAUUAGAUUUGCUUAUCAUGUUAAAGAGCAUAUUAAAAGGAAAUGUUUGGAAAAGAGAUGCCAUAACCGGGUCUGAUGGAUUGAGAAUUCCUAAUUUGGAAAAAAUGUGCUAAGACAACAUGAUUGAUGUGAGUGACCUACUUUAUUUUAUAAGAAAGUAUGAGUUGCCUUGGGCUUAUUGGUACACAUAUUUGGAAAAAGUUGGUUUUUUUCCACAUUAAGUUUUUAUUAACAUUUUCAAAAGCGCAGAAACACCAUAGAAGGCUAUAAGUUGUGACUUGUCAAUGCAGAUGUGUGUGUAGUCACUCGCUGCCUUAGAAAAAUUUAUCCCCUUGCUGGAAGGGUUUCUGAAUGAGGAGUUUCUUGCCAAGCAAAUACCUGUUGGGGGAAAAGAUGAUACCUUUUUGACUGAGAGAAGAUGACAAGAAGGGGGCGUUUUUGUUUAAAACACAAAUGGAUCUUCUCCACCGUGUAGAAAAAAUACACGGCAGAAAACUUAGAAUGAUUUCCAUUUCAUGGUGCCUCCUGGCGACCUUCCCGCUGCACGGAGUGAACAGGAUUGGGCUGAGUUAACCGUUUUAUUUUGACUUUAGAAGCUGGAACCCCCAGGGGAGGCUCCCCAUUGUCAAAUGAAGCUACUUGGUCUGGAAGUUGGGAAUUUGGGGGUUAUCCCAGGAAACAGAAGGAACUGUGAAGGCUCCAAGGAGGGUUGGUGGCUGACAGAAUACUACUAUUAAAAUAAUGUUGCCAGUGAGGUUAAGAACUUAAGAAAUGCCUGUUGUAUAAUGUUCGUUGAGGAAGGGGAGAUGUGAAGCAGAAAUAUGUAUUUAAAAGCAGAGGUGGGAGAAUAAGUUUUCUGAAGGCAACUUGUCAGCUUCGUCGCAAAAGCCUUUUGCAUCCAGAAAGUCCACUUCUAGAAAUUUCUCCUAAAGAAAGAAUCAUAAUAUUCAUAAAUAUUUUGGUAAUGAGGUGUUUACUCUAGAAUCACAAUAUUGCAAAAUGGACUCAACUGUUCAAAGUGAGAGGAUCGCUUAAAUAAAUUCAUACAUUUAAUGCA